GAACCAUUUUUCUCAUAGAAACGAGAAGAGGCUUCAUACUUCCUUCGCGUAAAGAAGUUCGUGAGAUUUCUCCGCUCGCCACUAGAAGAUUAAAGGGGAAUCUUUAGUAAUCGAUCGCGUGUCCUUCUCUAUUUGCCUGCCACGCUUUUCCCUGCGGGGAAGCUGCAAUUUCCAGAGUCUAACUGUAAUCCAUUGCAACUGCAUUCCAUUCUUCCCGGCCACGUUUGUAGCCUGAAUUUACUUUCGCGUGAUAACGACGGUAUUGGAAGCGUUCCGUCCCGCAAUAGUCGAGAGCGCCUUAUCGAAGCUGAAGGGCCUCGCGGAACGCCUCUAAUCCCGGAAUCCGUUUUCGAACGCAAUAAAGAGCGCAAAGGCUAUUUGCGAUAAAGCUUAACGUUUGCCAAUUGAUAGCAACCGAUAACGAUAAGACCGAGUAUCGAUCGGGCAGGAAAAAGACACCUCAAUCGUCGUGAAAUCGUGGUCGUGUAAACUGAAGAAACGGCGUGAGAAACGCAGUAUAUUGCGCCGUGAAAGAUAACACGUUCACGUGUCCAAAUAAAUUUAUGUUACAGUGAGUGUUCGAAUGUCGCGGAUGUUGACAGGAACUUUUGGGAAAGCUUAACCACACGCCGAUAAAUUAAUUUCUAGGUCAAAGGCAGGAUUGUGAAAGAUCCAAAGACAGGGAUCCCUCGAAGAUUUGACGGCAGAUUAGAGGGGAAAAAUAGGAUUAUCGAAAAUCGUUUAAGGAUCCGACAAUCGAGGAAUCGCUACAAUGGCUGAAAGAACGCCGGUGGCUGACAGUGAAAAAGUGGAAGAAAUCGCGGCCGAUAAGACGCAGGAGGUCGACGCCAUUUUGUCGACAGGGACACCGGUUGUCACGAAAGACGGAAGCGAAAUUAAAAGUCGGACCAAGAGGAACAUCAUUGCCGUGCCGGAACGAGACGAGAGCGAGAGAGGCGGGAAGACGUAUCGCCGCGAUAAGAACGGACGUUGGAGGCUUGUAUUGUAUUGAUUAACGUUUCCCACGGUUAGUUUGUUCUUUUAUUUUUUUUCUGCAUCAGUGAUCUUUGAAUCUCUGAUUGACGUGAGACUCACACAAGCUACCUCCAAAUAAUGAAAAAUUUAAUAAAUUUUUAGGAACGUAUCAGUGGAGAUUGCCAAUAAAUAAACAUUAUUUAAAUUCUCUAAAGAUAUCAAUUGACAUUUCAAACUGUACACGUAUAAAGUUCAAUUUAUUAUUUAAUACAUAAAAUUUGAUUUUAAAGCUUAAAAAGUCAAAUGCUAUCUAACAAAAGGAUAUAAAAAUUUAUUAUUAAUUAAUAUUCAUCGUGAAAUUGAAAGUAUCAUUACAUGUGUUUAAAAAUAUUUUCGUUUUUUAUUUAUAAAUUUUUGUGUACUGUCUAUUUUACGUUUAACGUGCUUAGGGUGGAAAAUUAAUAAACCAAUAGUAAAUAAUUUUUUUAGGCAUAUAAAUAAAUACUCGGUACGCAAACUUCUCAUUUAGGAUUAUAAUAACAUAAUUUUAAUUUUGUAAAAAGAAAUUAUAAGUGCCUAAUUUUAUUAUAAAAUUAUAAAAUAUUCAUACAAAAAUUAAUUGAUUUAAAAAACAACGAAUAUAUUGGUUAUUGGAUUUAUAAGUGUUAAAAGUUGGCGAUCUAUUCUAUUUUUUUUUUUACAUUUCUAGGAUUAAACGUUAAAAUUUUUCAUCUAAAAGCUACUUUGUUAUAAAAGUUCAAUAUUGUUAAAUCGUAAAUCCAGCUUUCCUUUUAAAUCUGCAAGUAACUUUCACUGAAUCUAAAAAAAAUUAAAUUUAAAAAAAAUUCUCACAGUAAAAACGCGGUUUCUCGAAAAAGGAAAGAAAUUAAAUUUUUCUGUACAGAGAAAUUGAUAAAUUUUCACCAUUUAAAGUUGUAUUUGAUCCGAAAAAUUAGAUUUUAUAUAAAAAAAAGCUAAGUGAUUUUUGUUUGAAAAAAAAAUCAAAUCGUCUCUCCGGUAAAAUUUUUUCCAAUUUAGAAACUAGAGAUAUAUUGAGCUUGUUUUAAGCUAUACCGCUACGUAACUAAAAGCGAAACUUUAUAUUCGCGGCAAAAGUCAAAUAUUUGUUGUAUUGAAAAACCAAAUUCUAUCAUCAUAAAAGUCAAUCGUUUCUUGU